rnacentral:misc_RNA from 1 species
CCGGCGGACAUAGAGCUUGAUGUUGUUCUUGGUCUUCUUUGUCUCAAAGAGAUCGAAUGGAGCACGCUUGGGGACGAAGAGGAUAGCGCGGAAUUCGAGCUGACCCUCAACGGAGAAAUGCUUGACGGCGAGAUGGUCUUCCCAGUCAUUGGACAAAGACUUGUAGAAAGAGGCGUACUCCUCGGUAGUGAUGUCUUGAGGAUUUCUUGUCCAG